GAUGAACGCUGGCGGCGUGCCUAAUACAUGCCAGUCGAGCGAACGGACGAGAAGCUUGCUUCUCUGAUGUUAGCGGCGGACGGGUGAGUAACACGUGGAUAACCUACCUAUAAGACUGGGAUAACUUCGGGAAACCGGAGCUAAUACCGGAUGAUAUUUUGAACCGCAUGGUUCAAAAGUGAAAGACGGUCUUGCCGUCACUUAUAGAUGGAUCCGCGCUGCAUUAGCUAGUUGGUAAGGUAACGGCUUACCAAGGCAACGAUGCAUAGCCGACCUGAGAGGGUGAUCGGCCACACUGGAACUGAGACACGGUCCAGACUCCUACGGGAGGCAGCAGUAGGGAAUCUUCCGCAAUGGGCGAAAGCCUGACGGAGCAACGCCGCGUGAGUGAUGAAGGACUUCGGAUCGUAAAACUCUGUUAUUAGGGAAGAACAUAUGUGUAAGUAACUGUGCACAUCUUGACGGUACCUAAUCAGAAAGCCACGGCUAACUACGUG
rnacentral:rRNA from 1 species